GACGAACGCUGGCGGCGCGCCUAACACAUGCAAGUCGAACGAGCGAGAGAGAGCUUGCUUUCUCGAGCGAGUGGCGAACGGGUGAGUAACGCGUGAGGAACCUGCCUCAAAGAGGGGGACAACAGUUGGAAACGACUGCUAAUACCGCAUAAGCCCACGACCCGGCAUCGGGAAGAGGGAAAAGGAGCAAUCCGCUUUGAGAUGGCCUCGCGUCCGAUUAGCUAGUUGGUGAGGUAACGGCCCACCAAGGCGACGAUCGGUAGCCGGACUGAGAGGUUGAACGGCCACAUUGGGACUGAGACACGGCCCAGACUCCUACGGGAGGCAGCAGUGGGGAAUAUUGCACAGUGGGGGAAACCCUGAUGCAGCGACGCCGCGUGGAGGAAGAAGGUCUUCGGAUUGUAAACUCCUGUUGUUGAGGAAGAUAAUGACGGUACUCAACAAGGAAGUGACGGCUAACUACGUGCCAGCAGCCGCGGUAAAACGUAGGUCACAAGCGUUGUCCGGAAUUACUGGGUGUAAAGGGAGCGCAGGCGGGAAGACAAGUUGGAAGUGAAAUCCAUGGGCUCAACCCAUGAACUGCUUUCAAAACUGUUUUUCUUGAGUAGUGCAGAGGUAGGCGGAAUUCCCGGUGUAGCGGUGGAAUGCGUAGAUAUCGGGAGGAACACCAGUGGCGAAGGCGGCCUACUGGGCACCAACUGACGCUGAGGCUCGAAAGUGUGGGUAGCAAACAGGAUUAGAUACCCUGGUAGUCCACACCGUAAACGAUGAUUACUAGGUGUUGGAGGAUUGACCCCUUCAGUGCCGCAGUUAACACAAUAAGUAAUCCACCUGGGGAGUACGACCGCAAGGUUGAAACUCAAAGGAAUUGACGGAAG
rnacentral:rRNA from 1 species